CUAUUUUCUCUCCUACCUCUGGUUGGUGAAUUAGAAGAGGGGUGGAAGAGUUUAAGAACCCUAAAUAAAGUAAGUUUUGAAAAAAAAAGUCUAAGCAUAUAGUCUCCUCCUUCUGAUACUAAUUCUUAAUUGAUAAAAUUACAAGUAUACAUUUUUAGGCUUAUAUUGUUCCUAGAGUUUACAAUUUUUAUUCAACUCAAUACUAGUUCCCCUUAUGUUUGACAAAUUCAAGACAUAGGAUACAAUGCAGUCAUAGAAGGAAUUGUCCGCUCAAGCACUAAAAAAAUCCAAAUUACAUAAUAGAGAAGGUAUGUAAAACACUGUAAAAUAUUAUAUGAAAUAAAACGAAACAGACGAAAGACAAUAUGACAGUGUGCAAAGUAGGAGAGCUAGACGAGGUGCUAGGAAACCCAUGUUCUGUUCUUGAUCAGCAGAAAGGUGUGGAGGGUAGGCAAGGGCUUGUGGAAGGAUGAAUUCUUAUCUGAUUCAUGCAGAUUAGCUUAUUGCUCUGUAGUUUCACCUGCUAAGGAUGACAAUAUCCGGCUCCUAUAGAUGCGGUAUAGAUUAAAUGAAUUAAAGCACGUGAAGUGCUCCCUUUAUGCUAAAUAGUGUUUGCUCUAGUGUUUUAUUUCAUCUAAUCCCCACCUAAAAUGUGUCUAAUUUUCACUAUACUUCAGUAUAAAAUAAAGAAAAUAAUUGUUACAUUGACCUGACUAAUAAGUUUGUGGUGAGGAUUUACAAGAAGUGGAAUAUGUGUGUGAAAGGGCUUUGAUUACUGAGUGUAUAAUACCCAACUGCCCGGUUUUAUUUAAAACUUUUUAUAAUGAACUCUCUAAGUCAGCAGGUGGCAGAUAAUUCCUCAGUGCAGCCUUUAAACAUCUUGUACCUCGAAGCACCAUUUGGAACCCAUCCUAACGGCAUAAAACUGUCAGCUAUAACUUGCUGGAAUCCUAGUCAGUGAAAAUGUGAGAGAAAGAGUGAAACAGAAGAGGCAGCUCAUUGCUUUGAAUAAUCAUUUGACUGAGCUACCUUAGCCAAUGAACCUGUAGGCCUUGAUGACCACAUUUUUUACAUGAUAUUAGAGUCAAUACAGGGAAUUCAAUCUCUUUUAAAUGUUAUCCACUUGGGAUGUCUGUUGACAUUUUGCAAAGCAAACCAUAAAUGUACUUAAACCAAUGAGUAAAACAUUAAAAUUAAAAAGCAGCCUCUCUUUUCUCCAAGUACCGUUUUCAAAUGGCACACAGAACUUUACACAAGCUCUGGGCACCUCUACUUGUAAUUCCUAGGGGCAGUGGCAUUCAUCUGAGCAUUAAGCAGCCUGGUCAGGUAGUGCUGAGUCAAGUCCAUUCUGGAACUCUCCUCACUUGUGAAUGCAGCACUGCCUCUGAGAUGUCAUUAUUCCAGUGUGAUGAUAAAGCACUCAUUUAUACCGCUUUACAGGAGAGAGAACCAGAGUUUAAAAAGCCAGAGCCACCAAUUUAUAUCAGGCUACUGUAACACCCUUGAACAGAAUCUCAUUUUAAAAGACUGCCUAGAAGAGAAAAUGUUUAAUCCUCGAUCACAAAUUGGUAGGUCCCGAAAAAAUGUUUCUGCUCUUUUUUUUAAUCUUUUUAUUUUUCAUUAGGGAUCAAGUGUUGGCACUAAGACUUACUAUUUCACUUAUAGCAAAGCAGAUCUCUUAAUGGGAGAGCUACCACGAAGUCUCUGGGUGGGUUAUGUAGCUUGACUGUGCUUAUAAAGACAAUUGCGGCAUUAAGGACAAUAGGAGGUCAUUCUAAAUUACUGAUUUAAAUGAAGGGCUGUACAUGAACCAGUGUGGGGAUAUCAGCCCUUUCUCAAAACCAUCACUAGCUUGGUUAGGAAACACUGGUUUGGAUAUGUUAUAGUUAACUUAGUCUGGAAGUUGGUAGAUGCUGUGACCAAUACGUUUGACAUGAUUAAUGAGUAGAAUUUGUGACAGCAAAAAAAGUGCUUUUUUAAUGGAGGAAUCUUAAAACCACAAAUAGCAGUGUGUGUAUUCUUCUGAUCUUUGAUAAGGGAUGGCAUUAUGCUACAGGUGGACUUUUUAUUCAAGGUAGCCUAGAACCUUAAAGCCAAAAUGUGACAUUUACCUCUCUUGAUUUAUAGACUUUGUAGCCUUUACUUAAGAAUUUAUGCAAAGUCAACUCCCAGUGUUUCUUUUCUAAGUAUGUCUAUACUUGUACAGUUAGAAGACACAGAUGCUAUUAAAAACUAAGACAGGGAAUAACAUUCCAAGGCCCAUGGACAACAAAUGGAUACAAUUCUAAAUAAAAUUGAGGCCUGUUUGACUGAUAAACUGUAUUACACCAGAGCAGGACCCGUUUGGUGUUAACCACAUUUCACAGCCCAGUUUGUCCUCCAGCCCAUGCUAAGCACACCCAGAAGGAGAGCAGUUCGUCAGCAUUUCUUCUCCAUUUCCAUGCCAUCUGAUACACUGUUGCCAAGACAAACGAGCUUAUAAGCAGCCAAGAAAAGAUGAGAGCUCUUUAAAAUAAAUCCACAUGAAGCUCUUAGCAGGCAGGAAUCCAUCCCUAUCUGACUCUGGAACUCUGAGGCAGACAUUUAAAUAACCAUGGGCAAAUUCAGCAUCCAAUCUAUACAGCCCAGCUGUCAGUUUCUCGGGAAACCAUGGAGAAAUAAGCAAAAGGAAGCCAAACUCUAAAAGUAGACCAGGUAUAGAAGUCAUGACUAUGAAUCCAUCCAAGAGUUCAGAAUGCUGUUGUUGGUGACGCAUUUGUCCUAUACGGAACCUAUGGAAACCAUCAGUAGAGUUCAGUUUGAACCUGUGAGGACAAAGGUCGAUGUUUCAAUAAACGUUUUUGAAACAAGGCAUAGUCCAAGACAGGGGAACCAUGCUGUUCUCCAACCAGUAUUUCUGGUUAAUCUUUCUGCUCACCUCUGUACAAAAGCUUGGGAACCUGUGUGGUUUCUUCUACCUGUAGGUUUCAGCAUUGCACUGUCUUUAAUACUAGCUUAUCAACUGAGCAUCUGGGCAGAAAUAUCUGAAUAUAUUUAUCACAUAUAACAUUGUAAUUAUUUACAGGGAAUCUACAACAUAUGGGGAGGGAGAAACCAGUCCCUAAAAUUAAGAAAGUACACAAACCUGGAAGGUUGAAUUUAAUUGACAGAACCCACAUAAAGGUUCUGAUGGACAAAGUUGAUAUAAGACUUCUGGUGAGCUAGCUCUCUGGUAUAUGCACCCCCAAUGCUCACGCUCGUGGGUUCAUAUGAACGCAACAACAAUAAUGACAAUAAUAAUAAAAUUUAAAAAGAAACUGCAUUUAGAACUCAAGAAGCUUUUAACUAAGCAGUGGAAAAAACUACUGAAACAGAAGGAGAAGCUGCUGCUACAACCAACCACACAGAUGAAGACGAAACUCAUUAUGUUACAUGAAAGGCACCCAAUGAGAAAAGCAACACUAUGCAGGAUUCCAUUUCUAUGACUUUCGGGAAAGGGCGAAGUAUAGGGAUGGAGUCAAGGUCAAAGAUCUGGGGUCUCAAGGGUAGGAGAAGAAGCUGCCAUAAAGACAGCAAAGGAAUUGGGGAGCUGUUGUUCCUGCUUCUGCAACUAUUCCCUGCCUGUGAAUUCAUAAAGCUUACAGAAUCGAGCACCCCAAAAGAGUGGCUCUCACUGUAGAUUGAAAUCUUAAUUCAAGACUGUAAAAGCUUCUUGUGGGCUACACUUUUCUUUCCCCCAUUCAGGAAAAUUGUCUUCCGAGUAUUCCGAUUCCUUCUGCUUAUCAUAUUCAAGAUUUUAAAUUUAGCAUCAGCGCCAGCUUUUCCAUAAAGCCUUCCCGUGAGUAUGUUUCCUCAUAUUCUAGUUCUUUAAAAGGAAUAAGCAUUACUCAUAGAGCUCGAAUCGUUGUGACUAAAACAUGUCCUCUCCUUCCUCCAGUUUCCACACCCCAUUCCCCGACACGAUGUUAUGCUUCCUAUCAUGCAUUUUCUGUGUUUUUGUGGUCUGUUACAGUAUUAUGUUAAUAGACAGUAACAUUGUAUUAAUAUCACAUUCUCUUGCGAUUUGCUUUUUCAUCCAACACUGCCUUCAAGAUCGUCCAUUCACUUUUAAUUGCUGCCGCCCUGUAUUCCACUAUAGGAAUGUACCAAGUCGCUGUUUCACUGCAGUCUGAGGGCUCUCGGGGCUGUUUCCGGUUGGGCUGUGAAGCACCACCUACAGAUUUUCCUCCUGCUAGCGCCGGAGCAGCUCAAGGGCAGAGACCGCUCUGAGCUGCUGGGGUUUUUUGUUGUUGUUGUUUUUGGUUCUUUGGUUUUUUUUCUCCCUAAUUUCCGUGGCACCUGAGAACUGGGAGAUACAUGAAGCGCUUCGCUUGGAAGAUGCUCAGCACACAAUACGCCCUGGAUUUUAAAAAGCGGGUGGGGGGUCGGUAAAUUAUCUUAACAAAGUGCAGUUUUAAAUUUGCUAUGCCCUCCCUUCUCCACCGAGUAAGAUUUGAGGGGAAACUGCUGCAAUUCCCUUUAGAAAGUCCUCAAGGUAUUUCGGGGCUGAAGUAGAUCUAUAAAACAAGGUCAUUCCACAGUUCGGCUUUCUCCUUAGUGGAUCUCCAAGCACUCUACAAGCGCUGUUUUCACGGUGACAUUUCCCCCUACUUUUAAGUCAGUUCAGCGAGGUAUUCAAAACUUGAAAACGUUUAGGGCGUCUCGAAAGGGCUUUGGACGCAGUCUGCAUAUGCAUAAUAGCAUAUUGGCCUUCUCACAGAAUUAUUAUUUUUUCCUUUCCGUGGGCCCCAGGUCAUGUUUCCGGAGUUAUCGUUUAACUGCCCACCUCAAGCAGGUCCCGCGCCAACGCUCUCCGGGCUAGCCGCACUCCCCACCCUUCCUGCACCUAAGAAGAUAUAACGCCCUUUGAUCUCCUCUCCAGUGCUUUGUGGCUUAAGGAACCUUGAUGUGCAAGAUAAAUACAGACUGUAACUGUGGGCACGCGGAGCCAUCUAUCAUCACCCUGCCUCUGGACGUGACCGAGAUGGUGAAACAAUGAGGGGGCAGUUUGGCCAGAGAGUAAGAUGAGUUUUCAUUGCCCUUUGUUCAAUGGUUGACGCAUACCAACAUACUUCGGGAUCCCUCAGCCUGCAAGGGCCAGCCCCCGACUAAGGUCCAGCUUAUUUACCUGAAGUAACACAUUCUGGAAUCCAUGGCAGCAGAUUACAGUGACCUCUUUGCCUCAAUUCAGUCCUCAGUCUAUGAAAUUAAUUUCCAUUUUGAUAACCAAAAGGCUUUCUUUGGAAAUAUCAGUGACUGCACAAGCCACAGGACAGAUCGAGGGCAGAAACAGCUGAAUCUUCUUGCACAGUGCCAGCCUUAUCCCUGAGAUGUGAUGCUGGAGGUUGAAGUGAACAGAUUUGGCUGAGUUGGGUGCCUGGUUACCAGGGCUUCUUUCAUGGCUGAAAAUGUACAUGCUGUUGUCACCAAUGACCCCUUCCUUGACCUCAACCACAUUAUCUGCAUGUUCCUUAUGACCCUUCCAUAUAAAGCUCAACUGCACAGUCAGGGCUGAGAAGAGGAAGCUUGUCAUUAAUGGGAGGGCUGUCACCUUCUUCCAGGAGAGUGAUCCUGCCAACAGCAAAUAGGAUGAUGUUGGUGUUGGGUGUGUUGUGGAGUCUGUUGGUGUCUUCAUCACUAUGGAAAAAGCUGGGACCCACCCACUUGAGUGGUGGGGCCAAAGGGUCAUCAUCUCUGCCCUUUCUGCUGCCGCCCAUGUUUCUGAUGGGUGCAAACCAUGACAAUUCACUCAAGAUUGUAAGAAACACUUUCUAUAUUAACGAUGGAUUAGCCACCUGGCCAAGUCAUCCAUGACAACUUUGGCCUUAUGAAAGAACUCAUGAUCAUGGUCCAUGCCAUCACUACCACCAGAAGACUGUGGAUGCUGUGGUAGGAUGGCUGUGGGGCAGCCCAGAACCUCCUCCCUGCAUUCACUUAGGCUGCCAAGGCUAUGGGCAAGGUCAUCUGAGAGUUGAAUGGGAAGUUCAAUGGCAUGGACUUCCAUGUUCCUACCCCCAAUAUGUCUGUCAUGAAUCUGACAUGCUGCUUAAAGAAAGCUGCCAAGUAUGAUGACAUUAAGGUGGUGGUGAGUUGGGUAUCUGAGGAACCACCAAAGAGCAUCCUGGGCUACACUGAGGACCAGUUUGUUUCCUGUGACUUUAACAAUGAUUUUCAUUCUUCCACCUUUGAUGCUGGGUCUGGCAUUGUUCUUAAUGACAACCUUGUAAAAUUCAUUUCCUGAUAUGAAGAUAAAUAUGGCUACAGCAACAGAGUGGUGAACCUCAUAGCCUACAUGGACUCCAAGGAGUAUGAAGCCCUGGAUCACCCACCCAAGCAAAGAGAUGAAAGCAAGAGAGAGGCCCUCAGCUGCUGAGGAAUCCCUGGCCCAACUCAGCUCCCUAUACUGAGUAUCUCCCUCACAAUAAUGGGAGGGGCCUAUGGAGCCCUAUUCUCUUGAAUACCAUCAAUAAAGUUCACUGUACCUCCAA
rnacentral:sRNA from 1 species